GACGAACGCUGGCGGCGUGCUUAACACAUGCAAGUCGAACGGAAAGGCCCUGCUUUGGUGGGGUGCUCGAGUGGCGAACGGGUGAGUAACACAUGAGUAACCUGCCCUUGACUUUGGGAUAACUUCCGGAAACUGGGGCUAAUACCGGAUAGGAGCUCCUGCUGCAUGGUGGGGGUUGGAAAGUUUCGGCGGUUGGGGAUGGAUUCGCGGCUUAUCAGCUUGUGGGGGGGGUAGUGGCUUACCAAGGCUUUGACGGGUAGCCGGCCUGAGAGGGUGACCGGCCACAUUGGGCCUGAGAGACGGACCAGACUGCUACGGGAGGCAGCGGUGGGGAAUAUUGCACAGUGAGCGGAAGUCUGAUGAAGCAACGCCGCGUGCGGGAUGACGGCCUUCGGGUUGUAAACCGCUUUGGCCUGUGACGAAGCGUGAGUGACGGUACUGGGUAAAGAAGCACCGGCUAACUACGUG
rnacentral:rRNA from 1 species